rnacentral:rRNA from 1 species
UGGGGAAUAUUGGACAAUGGGCGAAAGCCUGAUCCAGCCAUGCCGCGUGUGUGAAGAAGGUCUUCGGAUUGUAAAGCACUUUAAGUUGGGAGGAAGGGCAGUAAGCGAAUACCUUGCUGUUUUGACGUUACCGACAGAAUAAGCACCGGCUAACUCUGUGCCAGCAGCCGCGGUAAUACAGAGGGUGCAAGCGUUAAUCUGAAUUACUGGGCGUAAAGCGCGCGUAGGUGGUUCGUUAAGUUGAAUGUGAAAGCCCCGGGCUCAACCUGGGAACUGCAUCCAAAACUGGCGAGCUAGAGUAGGGCAGAGGGUGGUGGAAUUUCCUGUGUAGCGAUGAAAUGCGUAGAUAUAGGAAGGAACACCAGUGGCGAAGGAGACCACCUGGGCUCAUACUGACACUGAGGUGCGAAAGCGUGGGGAGCAAACAGG